CAUUUUCAUGCAUGAAUCAUUCAUAUAGCAGGCAUUGCUCAAUUUAUUGAUAAGUUUCAGUGCGAGAACUGAACCAAGGUUGAAGUAUAUAUCUGCUACAAUAUAGGCACCAGAAAAAGCAAAACAACUACGAGAAGUAUACAUAAGUAGAAAUAGAAGGUGAUCCAAUCUGGCUGGCUAGGGCCGGUCUUUGAAAUCUUUAGAUUAGAAGCUAUAAUGUUUUGCAAAUUUAUCCAAUACAAAUAUACAGUUAGGCUAUAUGUUUUCGUAUUUUCAGAAAUUGGCUUCUAACUUAUGUGGCAAUUAUAUUUAAACAUUCAUGCUGAAGGAUUAGGCAUUCUGCUCACUGCCCGAUUAAUUAAUUGGUACCAUCUUAAAUACAAAAUUACAAGUAUCUUUAUGUUGGAUAGUUGUUCUGACAAGAGAUGCUUGUGGAGGAAUAUCGGGGUGACUGCAUACUGACACAAGAAGGCUAGAACAAUGACUCGAAAAUCGGUUUUCUUGGUAUAGGCGAUGGAAAUGUACAAGAGUGCUAAAAUAAUGGUUGAUGGUCUAAUUGAGUGAAGAUAAAAGACUAAAAAGUUUUGAUCUACAUGCUACAAUCAAGCCAUCAGUAGAUCAAUAGGAAGGUGUGCACUUGAAAUUUGUCAUGACUUACUUCCAGGUGUUCCCUGCGGCCACUGCCUCGCCCGUGCUCCGGUAAUUUUCGCAAAACAACAACUGCCUAGAACACAAAUUAGUCUCAUCAUCUCAACAAAUCACAUGCAGAAGAGAGAAGAAACUUGGCACAAAGCAAACAAUUAAAAUUAGAGGGAGAUAGGUACAAGUCAAGAAAAAAACCUUGCUGUGUUGUCAAAAAAGGAGAGGCAGCACAUCAAUAGUGGAACUGUCGGAAUGAUCCCUAGAGCGAAUAGUGGUUGGAUUCGUCGAGCAGCCCACAUGACAGGCAGUGUCGGCUGCCAUCCUCAAGAAUACCGUGGUGGCGCAUCCAGCUCUGGUUCCGGAGGUUCAUUGCCGCCCCGCGGAUAUUCAUCCCCUCUUCGCCCGAGCAGCGGUGGCAGGAUGCACUCUCAGCAUCUACUGGUUCGUGGCUCUCAGAUGCGUGAGCGCUUCCCCAAUAAAUGGUUGCAGGUCGGACAAGGCUCACAUAGUAAGUUGUGUAUGUAUGCUACGCGACCUGGGCAGAAGGACAUGCUAGAUGUGAUGAAUCGGUGGCGCAGGCCAUGGGGAGCAUUGUAGUGUACUCGAUCUGCUUCAAUUGUACUCGAUCUGCUUGAAUUGGGGAAAGAUAGUGGCAAGUAGUGUCACGGGAGAGAAAGAAAAAGCUAGAAGGGGAUCUGACAGAAUGCCUGUGACUAUUCGGUGUGGGGGUGUUGCUUCGUGCAUGCCCAUGGGAGUAUCAGGAAUAAGCGGUCAGGGCUGUCCUAUCACUUCUGUGUAAAUUGUGUAUGUUAUUACUAUUUCUUUACUUAUUUAAAUAUAGAAAUUACUGUUGGC